CAAGAAAAUAAGGGAUUUGCGACAGUUCAUUUGCGACUAUUAAGUCAAAACUGUCGCAAUGUCUCUAUUUUCAAAAUUUUGCAACAGUAUAUGCGACAGUUUUGGCAACCGUUGCAACUUUUGGAUCUAAAACCAAAUUUGAAGUUAGCGCUAAGUGAAUUUGUGUGAACUCUUUCCCUCACUUAGAUAAACUGAAAUCCCUCUUUCACUUUUUGUCAUAUACAAAAAAAACCCCUCAAAUCCCUAAAAUCAUUUUCCAAAUCUCUCGAAUCAACGAAGAAGCUUCUCCUAUAUUACAAAUCACUCUCCAAAUCGUGUUCCCCUUCAUCGUUCCCAUUAACGAAGCUUCAUCGUUCGCUUUCUCUUCUAGUUUCGCUAUCUCAUUAUGUUUCCGACAACGAGCUUCUCUUUCACCACUCAGGUUCCCGCCGCACACCCGUCAGUGACGUCGAUCUCCGCCGACACACCCUCCACGGUUUAGACGUUCAGGGGUUUGGUCAUUAAUGCAAUUCUUUACUUUACUCACGCAAAUAAUGAUUGGAUUAAGCUAAAGAUAGAAGCAUUUCUCAGCCAAUUUCUUAAGUCUGCUGCCAAUUUUUAACUCUGCUGCUGAUUUUGUAACUCUGCUGCCGUUUUCGUAAUUGAAUAAGAAGAAUCAAGAGAUGAUUAAGGAUCAUGAAGCAACAUAACAUACUAGGGAUUUUUUUUUAUUUUUUUCCUUUUAGAGAGUUUCAAGUUAUUUAAUUAAAUAUUUUAUGUAUGGAUGUUGUCACUAUCGAAUUAAUUAUAUAAAUGAGAUUGAGUUAUUUAUAUA